UACGUAGGGGGCAAGCGUUGUCCGGAUUUACUGGGCGUAAAGAGCGCGUAGGCGGAGAUCUAAGCGUGGCCUGAAAGCCCCCGGCUCAACCGGGGAGUGCGGCUGCGAACUGGGUUUCUUGAGGACGAUAGAGGAGAGUGGAAUUCCUGGUGUAGCGGUGGAAUGCGUAGAUAUCAGGAAGAACACCAAUGGCGAAAGCAGCUCUCUGGGACGGUACUGACGCUGAGACGCGAAAGCGUGGGGAGCGAACAGG
rnacentral:rRNA from 1 species